rnacentral:rRNA from 1 species
GAUAAACGCUGGCGGCGCACAUAAGACAUGCAAGUCGAACGGAAGUCGUUAUAAAAAGGAUUGAAGAUUUAUCUGAUUGAGAUUUUAUAACAAUGGCUUUAGUGGCGGACUGGUGAGUAACGCGUGAGCAACCUGCCUACUAGAGGGGAAUAACAGUGAGAAAUCAUUGCUAAUACCGCAUAUGCCAUGAACAUCACAUGAUGAAAAUGGGAAAAGAGUAAUCUGCUAGUAGAUGGGCUCGCGUCUGAUUAGAUAGUUGGUGGGGUAACGGCCUACCAAGUCGACGAUCAGUAGCCAGACUGAGAGGUUGAACGGCCACAUUGGGACUGAGAUACGGCCCAGACUCCUACGGGAGGCAGCAGUCGGGAAUAUUGCGCAAUGGAGGAAACUCUGACGCAGUGACGCCGCGUAUAGGAAGAAGGUCUUCGGAUUGUAAACUCCUGUUGUUGGGGAAGAUAAUGACGGUACCCAACAAGGAAGUGAC